UCUUGGUAGGUCCCCCCCCGGUUUUCUAACCCUAUUUUCCCGUCGUUGGCGGUUUAGCGCGAUGUUCGGUGUUUUACUCGUUGGCUUUCACCGAACUCAAACGUUUCAAAAAACGUCAGCGUUAAAGGGGGGGGUCUUCCACCUGCCGGCCGGAGCGCCUUUCCUCUCCUAAAACCUCUCCCUUCACAUCGGAGGCCACCUGCCUGCCAAAUGAGGCCGCGGUCAGCCUGGCUCGAGAAGCUGCUGCCCUGAAGGGUUCGCCCCUGUCAGCCUCCGUGGCGGUGGGUCUGGCCUCGGGAGAGGCUUUCGGCUGGGGUGUGUGUAUGUGGCGGGCGCCAGAGCAAAAAC
rnacentral:telomerase_RNA from 1 species